AACGAACGCUGGCGGCAGGCCUAACACAUGCAAGUCGAAGGAGAAGCACUCUUCGGAGUGUGGACACUGGCGCACGGGUGAGUAACGCGUGGGAAUCCUACCCCGGGGUGGGGGACAACCGCUGGAAACGGCGGCUAAUACCGCAUACGCCUUGAGAGGGAAAGCUUUAGCGCCCUGGGAUGAGCCCGCGUUAGAUUAGGUUGUUGGUGGGGUAAUGGCCUACCAAGCCUACGAUCUAUAGCUGGUCUGAGAGGAUGAUCAGCCACACUGGGACUGAGACACGGCCCAG
rnacentral:rRNA from 1 species